UUAGGGACGUGACUUAGUGGUAGAGUAUUUGCCUGACAUGCACAAGGCCCUGGGUUCAAUCUCCAGAUUGAAAAA
rnacentral:tRNA from 1 species